GGAAGCACACCCCGCUCUGGUGACGGGCUCGGUCUUCAAAAUCGAUGGUGUCGGCACCCUCGGUGUCGCAUGGCAGGUUCGAUUCCUGUGUGUUUCCG
rnacentral:tRNA from 1 species